UACGUAGGGUGCAAGCGUUGUCCGGAAUUAUUGGGCGUAAAGAGCUCGUAGGCGGCUUGUCGCGUCGGCUGUGAAAACCUGGGGCUCAACUCCGGGCCUGCAGCCGAUACGGGCAAGCUAAGAUUCGGUAGGGGAGACUGGAAUUCCUGGUGUAGCGGUGAAAUGCGCAGAUAUCAGGAGGAACACCGGUGGCGAAGGCGGGGUCUCUGGGCCGAUAUUGACGCUGAGGAGCGAAAGCGUGGGGAGCGAACAGG
rnacentral:rRNA from 1 species